GAACUGAAGAGUAUCUACUGGGAACGGUUGGAAUUGCCAAGUCUAGAGAGAGUGUUUAUAAUGAUGUGUCCAAAGCUGAAAAAGCUUCCAUUUAGCAAGGAGAGGGCAUACUACUUUGACCUACGUGCACACAAUGAAGAAUGGUUCGAAAGACUUGAGUGGGAAGAUGAAGCUAUUGAAGACUAGGUGGAUCCAUCCGUAUCAGGUAAAAAAAAAAGGCAUAUAACAUUGUUGUCAGUGUUUAUCUUACAUAAUCCUUCACUUCACAUCUGCUUUGAUAUUCUCAGGUCGCUCUCAAAUAGACAUGCAACUCCACAGCUUCUGAGAUAACCCUUCUUAAGUUGCAACAGUUUGUCUUCACCUCAUGUAAUUGUAUCGUAUUUUCUUGUUUCAUAUUAUGAUUGGUUUGAAUUUGGUUUGAAGAAACUUGUAUGCGUUUUGGGUGUUUUUAUUUAUUUUUACUUUACUUUCGGAAGUGUGAGUGAUACCUCAAAAUACUUUGUACCAAAAAUAAAUAAACUUGUUGUGUGAUGUUGUAUGAUUUUGCGUGGUGAGAAUAAAAUUGGUAUAAGGGUAUUAGUACACUUUGGUAUAAAAUCUUAUUUGUACACUUAAAAAGACGAUUUUGACUGUGUUAUUAUUACACUUUGGUAUAAAAUCUUAUUUCUAGAUAUAAAGUCUUAUUAACACUUUUGCUAAUACUCCAUAGGUAGACUUGUGUUAUUAUUGUGUUGAUAAUGCUAAGGUCAAUUUUAAUUUUCGAUGCAAGUAUAGCCCGAAACAGUAAACAAUAACAGACACGCAGAGUAUUGAUUGACAGAGGCUAUAGUUUUUUUUUUUUUUUGCUUUAAAAUUAAAAAUGGAGAUUUUGUGGCUUUAGUUUUAGAUUUUAUAGGUGUAUAAUUAUUUUCAAAUUUUGAAAACACUAAAUAUAAAACUGUAGAAAAAUUGAUUUAUAAACCAAUCUAUUUCCUUUCUAAGAUUUUUGGUUGUAGUUUUAGAUUUUUUUAAUAAAGCAUCUUUGGUAAUAAAAUUGGCGGUAAAAAAAAUUAAAAUCCGUUCAAAGCACUUACCGUUCGUCCCCAAAGUCAUGAAUUCGCUAGCGUCUAUAAUUGAUUGACAAGGACAAGUUUAUAUUAUACGAACAAGACCAAAGCCUGCUUGCUACUUUAGUUUCUGUACGUUCUUAUAGAGAUAAGGUUAACCUCCACCCCUCAAUAUGGAAGUUAUUCCAUCUCCUUAUCUCUAUAGUUCUUGAGAUUCAACGAAUGCUUAGUAUUCUUCUUCUUCUUUCCAUUUUGUUCUUCUCUUACUUUUUUCUUCUGUUGAAACACGAUGGGGAACGUACUUUCAAACGGCUUUCAAGCUGCAACAAGUUUUUUUCUUGAAAAGGCCAAGUAUAUACUCGAACUGGAAGAUAAUCUUGAGGCUUUGCAAGAGGUUGCGAGACGCCUCAAAGCAAUGAAGGAUGACUUGCAGAACCAACUCGAGAUGGAAGAACGAAAAGGUUUGCGAGCGCUAGAAGAAAUUAAGGUAUGGCUUUCAGAAGUCAAAGCCAUCCAACCAAAGGUCACUAAACUGCUUGAAGAUAGGACUUCAGAAAUCGAAAGAUUGUCUAUGUACGGGUACUGCUCCAGCAACUUCCUUUUAACAUAUCAUUAUGGUAAAAAUGUAUUUGAAACGUUGGAGAAAGUACGAAGUAUUUUGUCCUCAAAACCUUGUGGCGAGGUGGUGGCUAGGAGGAUUCUUCCACCUGGUGUAAAUGAUAUAGACACUCAACGCACAGUCGGUUUAGAGAAGACGCUCGAAGAUGCAUGGAGCCUUCUCAUGGAGAAGGAAGUUGGAAUCUUGGGUAUUUACGGUAUGGGUGGAAUAGGGAAGACCACACUUCUCAAACAAAUCAAUGAGAAGUUACUUGAAAAAAAAGAUGAGUUUGGGGUGGUGAUAUUUGUAGUGGUGUCUCAAAACCUACAAGUUGAAAAGAUCCAAAAGGAGAUCGGUAAAAGACUAGGCCUCUGUGACGAGGAGUGGGAGAAAAAAGACCAAAAGGAGAAAGCCACUUGUAUAAAAGAAGUUCUUACAAGUAAAAGAUUCGUUAUGUUGUUAGAUGACAUAUGGGAGAAAGUGAAACUACAAGAGAUUGGGAUUCCAUUUCCCUCAGCAGAUAAUGGAAGCAAGGUUGUGUUUACCACUCGCUCGAAAUACGUUUGUGGGCGUAUGGGAGCUCAUGACUUGGAAGUCAAGCAACUAGACCAGAAGAAUGCUUGGGAACUAUUCCGGCAGAAAAUUAGAGGUACCACACUAGACAGUGAUCCAAAGAUCCUCGAGCUAGCAAAACAAAUAUGUGCGAAAUGUAAAGGCUUACCACUUGCACUCACCGUUAUUGGGGAAACAAUGUCCUACAAAACGUCAGUACGUGAGUGGCAGUGUGCGAUUGAUGAUCUGGAUUCAAAUGCCGACAACUAUCCAGAAGUUAGAGAUGAGAUUCUUAAAAUUCUCAAGCUUAGCUAUGAUGAUCUUAAGGACGAGACAUUACAGCAAUGUUUCCAGUAUUGUGCUUUAUUUCCAGAAGAUAAAGAAAUUUAUAAAGACGAGUUGGUCGAGUACUGGGUAUCCGAAGGGAUCAUAGAUGGAGAUGGAGAGAGAGAAAGAGCUAUGAACCAGAGUUAUAAGAUAAUCGGUAUCCUCGUUAGUGCAUGUCUAUUGAUGCCUGUUGACACUUUAGACUUUGUAAAAAUGCAUGAUGUGAUUCGCCAAAUGGCUCUUUGGGUUGCGUCUAAUUUUGGGAAAGAGGAAGAGAAAUUUAUCGUCAAGACAGGAGCUGGACUGCAUCAGAUGCCUGAGGUUAGGGACUGGAAUGCGGUGAGAAGGAUGUCACUGGCAGAAAAUGAGAUUCAGAACAUCGCCGGGGAUGUAUCCCCGGUGUGUCCUAACCUGACCACAUUGUUGUUAAAAGACAACAAGCUGGUGAACAUCUCAGGUGAUUUUUUUCUAUCGAUGCCUAAGUUAGUGGUUUUGGAUCUAUCUAACAACAAAAAUCUAACCAAGCUGCCAGAAGAGGUUUCAAAGUUAGUGAGCUUGCGAUUUCUUGACUUAUCACAUACAAGUCUAGAGAACUUGCCUGUAGGAUUGGGAAAGUUGAUUCAGUUGAGAUAUUUUUAUUUGACAGGCGUACGAACUCUUGAAAGCAUCAGUGUGAUAUCAAGUUUGGUAAAUAUAGAAAUGCUAUUCUUACAUGAAGGUACUUUUUUAAGUCUGGAGUUGAUAGAGGAUAUAAAGUUACUGAAGAAUUUGAAAGGCUUGGGAGUAAGUAUCAAUGAUGUGGUUGUUUUAGAACGUCUUUUAAGUAUCCCCAAAUUGGCUAGAUGUAUCGAUGCUAUAUCACUGGAUGGAGUUGUAGCAAAAGACGGUCCGUUGCAGUUUGAAACGGCUAUGACUAGCCUUCGCUAUAUCAUGAUAGAAAGGUGUAUCAUCUCUGAUAUAAUGGAUCAUACGAGAUAUGGAUGCACAAGUACAAGUGCCAUAUGCUUCCAAAACCUCGGCUAUGUCAACAUAUCUGUCGUCAGUUGUAUACAGGAUUUGUCGUGGUUAAUCUUUGCUCCGAAUCUUGCGGUUGUAUUCGUAGAGGGGCCAUCACCGGAGUUGCAAGAAAUUAUAAGCAGAGAAAAGGUCUGUGGUAUACUAAACAAGGGGUCGAGUAUUGUACCGUUUAGAAAACUACAUACGAUUUACUUAGAAGAUUUGGAGGAACUGAAGAGUAUCUACUGGGAACGGUUGGAAUUGCCAAGUCUGAAGAGAAUGGAAAUAAAAUACUGUCCAAAGCUGAAAAAGCUUCCAUUAAGCAAGGAGAGGGCAUACUACUUUGACCUACAUGAAUACAAUGAAGAAUGGUUUGAAACACUUGAGUGGGAAGAUGAAGCUACUGAAGAAUAGGUGGAUCAAUCCGUAGUCAGUGUUUAUCGUACAUCCCUCACUUCACAUCAUGCUUUGAUAUUCUCAGGUUCGCUCU
rnacentral:lncRNA from 1 species